CUCUUAUGCAUAACUUUAUAUUUCCUCUUUCCAUGAUUGAAAUAUUAUAAUCGACUACAGGUCUCACUAAUUUUAUGAAAGUGUCUACUAACUCAAAGAACUAUUCCUUAGUUCAUAUCAUGUGAUUGUUACAUCCAGAAUUAAGGAACCAAACUUCUUCUUUGAUGUUAAUGCUCACAUUUGAGCCAUGAGGAACAAGUCUUCACUCUAAUCAAAAUUUUAAAAAAA
rnacentral:lncRNA from 1 species